GUGCAAAGAGAGCUCACAAAUUCAACCACAGAUUUUUACUGAAUGCCUACCCUAUCAGUUGGGAAGGGUGAUGACAACCCGUGACAUAAAGCACAAAAGUUUAUUUCUUACUCGUGCUUUAUAUCCAUUGUGAGUAGACUGAGGCUCUACCUGGCAGUGUCCUCACUCUGGGAUAGGCUGACAGAGCAGCCCCCAUUUGGAGCAAGCAGUCACUGAAGCAGAGCUAGCUUGACCACAUAUUAUCCCCUCCACCCAUGCCGUUUCGGAAAUGCAGCAACCCAGAUGUGGCUUCUGGCCCUGGAAAAUCACUGAAGUAUAAAAGACAGCUGAGUGAGGAUGGAAGACAGCUAAGGCGAGGGAGCCUGGGAGGAGCCCUGACUGAUUUUAUAACAGCCCUACAAGUUUGGCCCUGUUCUACUCAGGAACUUGAGGGAGGUACCUCCUUCCAAACCCGGUGGCGGGACAGG
rnacentral:sRNA from 1 species